rnacentral:rRNA from 1 species
CCUACGGGCGGCUGCAGUGGGGAAUAUUGCACAAUGGGCGCAAGCCUGAUGCAGCCAUGCCGCGUGUGUGAAGAAGGCCUUCGGGUUGUAAAGCACUUUCAGCGGGGAGGAAGGCGGUGAGGUUAAUAACCUCAUCGAUUGACGUUACCCGCAGAAGAAGCACCGGCUAACUCCGUGCCAGCAGCCGCGGUAAUACGGAGGGUGCAAGCGUUAAUCGGAAUUACUGGGCGUAAAGCGCACGCAGGCGGUCUGUCAAGUCGGAUGUGAAAUCCCCGGGCUCAACCUGGGAACUGCAUUCGAAACUGGCAGGCUAGAGUCUUGUAGAGGGGGGUAGAAUUCCAGGUGUAGCGGUGAAAUGCGUAGAGAUCUGGAGGAAUACCGGUGGCGAAGGCGCCCCCCUGGACAAAGACUGACGCUCAGGUGCGAAAGCGUGGGGAGCAAACAGGAUUAGAUACCCCUGUAGUC